rnacentral:rRNA from 1 species
GACGAACGCUGGCGGCGUGCCUAAUACAUGCAAGUAGAACGCUGAAGGAGGAGCUUGCUUCUCUGGAUGAGUUGCGAACGGGUGAGUAACGCGUAGGUAACCUGCCUGGUAGCGGGGGAUAACUAUUGGAAACGAUAGCUAAUACCGCAUAAGAGUAGAUGUUGCAUGACAUUUACUUAAAAGGUGCAAUUGCAUCACUACCAGAUGGACCUGCGUUGUAUUAGCUAGUUGGUGAGGUAACGGCUCACCAAGGCAACGAUACAUAGCCGACCUGAGAGGGUGAUCGGCCAAACUGGGACUGAGACACGGCCCAGACUCCUACGGGAGGCAGCAGUAGGGAAUCUUCGGCAAUGGACGGAAGUCUGACCGAGCAACGCCGCGUGAGUGAAGAAGGUUUUCGGAUCGUAAAGCUCGGUUGUAAGAGAAGAACGAGUGUGAGAGUGGAAAGUUCACACUGUGACGGUAGCUUACCAGAAAGGGACGGCUAACUACGUG